ACGCUAGCUACAGGCUUAACACAUGCAAGUCGAGGGGCAGCAUGGUCUUAGCUUGCUAAGGCCGAUGGCGACCGGCGCACGGGUGAGUAACACGUAUCCAACCUGCCGUCUACUCUUGGACAGCCUUCUGAAAGGAAGAUUAAUACAAGAUGGCAUCAUGAGUCCGCAUGUUCACAUGAUUAAAGGUAUUCCGGUAGACGAUGGGGAUGCGUUCCAUUAGAUAGUAGGCGGGGUAACGGCCCACCUAGUCUUCGAUGGAUAGGGGUUCUGAGAGGAAGGUCCCCCACAUUGGAACUGAGACACGGUCCAAACUCCUACGGGAGGCAGCAGUGAGGAAUAUUGGUCAAUGGGCGAGAGCCUGAACCAGCCAAGUAGCGUGAAGGAUGACUGCCCUAUGGGUUGUAAACUUCUUUUAUAAAGGAAUAAAGUCGGGUAUGGAUACCCGUUUGCAUGUACUUUAUGAAUAAGGAUCGGCUAACUCCGUGCCAGCAGCCGCGGUAAUACGGAGGAUCCGAGCGUUAUCCGGAUUUAUUGGGUUUAAAGGGAGCGUAGAUGGAUGUUUAAGUCAGUUGUGAAAGUUUGCGGCUCAACCGUAAAAUUGCAGUUGAUACUGGAUAUCUUGAGUGCAGUUGAGGCAGGCGGAAUUCGUGGUGUAGCGGUGAAAUGCUUAGAUAUCACGAAGAACUCCGAUUGCGAAGGCAGCCUGCUAAGCUGCAACUGACAUUGAGGCUCGAAAGUGUGGGUAUCAAACAGGAUUAGAUACCCUGGUAGUCCACACGGUAAACGAUGAAUACUCGCUGUUUGCGAUAUACAGCAAGCGGCCAAGCGAAAGCGUUAAGUAUUCCACCUGGGGAGUACGCCGGCAACGGUGAAACUCAAAGGAAUUGACGGGGGCCCGCACAAGCGGAGGAACAUGUGGUUUAAUUCGAUGAUACGCGAGGAACCUUACCCGGGCUUAAAUUGCAGAUGAAUUACGGUGAAAGCCGUAAGCCGCAAGGCAUCUGUGAAGGUGCUGCAUGGUUGUCGUCAGCUCGUGCCGUGAGGUGUCGGCUUAAGUGCCAUAACGAGCGCAACCCUUGUUGUCAGUUACUAACAGGUUCCGCUGAGGACUCUGACAAGACUGCCAUCGUAAGAUGUGAGGAAGGUGGGGAUGACGUCAAAUCAGCACGGCCCUUACGUCCGGGGCUACACACGUGUUACAAUGGGGGGUACAGAGGGCCGCUACCACGCGAGUGGAUGCCAAUCCCCAAAACCUCUCUCAGUUCGGACUGGAGUCUGCAACCCGACUCCACGAAGCUGGAUUCGCUAGUAAUCGCGCAUCAGCCACGGCGCGGUGAAUACGUUCCCGGGCCUUGUACACACCGCCCGUCAAGCCAUGGGAGCCGGGGGUACCUGAAGUGCGUAACCGCGAGGAGCGCCCUAGGGUAAAACUGGUGACUGGG
rnacentral:rRNA from 1 species